rnacentral:tRNA from 1 species
GUGUGUGUAGCUCAGUGGUUAGAGCAUCCUUCAGGAUUGAGGUGGUCAUGGGCAUGAAUCCCAUUGCACACC